rnacentral:lncRNA from 1 species
CACAGAUACUUAUCAUUUAGACUAUCUCUAGGCCUUUUAAUUCCUAUGGCAUUCACAUUUUGCUCAAUAUUAAAAACAGAUACAUCAACAUGUAACUGAUAGAGACCAUUAAUAACAAAACCAUUUGCAACUUUAUUAUUUUCAUAAAAUAUGUUACAAUGGUCCUUAUGAAAGCUAAUCACAUAGCCUUCUUGUGCUAAACAUGAAACAAAAAUCAAAUUCCUGCUUGCUGCAGGCACAUAAUAACAGUCUCUUAAAACUAAAUCUAAUCCUAAUGGUAAUCACAGAGGGUAGGUUCCUACGAUCACAGCAGCAACUCUUGUUCCAUUCCCGACAUGUAGGAUCAUCUUCCCAUCCCUCAGCCUUCUGCUCUCCUCAAGACCCUGCAUAGAAGUGCACAAAUGAGCACUAGAACCAGAAUCAAGCACCCAACUGGAUGCAGAAGAAAUCGUAAGAUUAGAUUCGAUAAUGAGCGUACCUCCAGAAGGACCAUCCUUCUUGUUCUUCAGGGUGGCCAGGUACUGAGGAUAGUUCUGCUUCCAAUGGCCUUCUGACUGACAGUGGAAACACUUUCCCUUUUCAGAAGCCUUCU